rnacentral:tRNA from 1 species
AAUGGGGUGUCUGAUUUAAGUGGUAAACUGUAAAUUUACUUAAGGAAUUCAUUUUCCUCUCAUUA